CACGGUUAAUGGUGUAAUGGUCACGGUUAACGUAGUAACACGGGGUGUGCCGUACUGCUGGAGAGAAUUGCUCAGGUUCUUCCCAAACUUCUAGAAAUGUUUGUCAAAGUUAAUGUUACAUAGAAAGUAAAGGUAAGCGUAUAAAAUUGAACAAUUCUUAGGACAGCUUGCAUUGAAAUACAUGAGCUGCAGCAGUAAUGGCGACAUGUUUACUUGCGGUACUUCCCAAGGUUCGUGUAUUAUACACAACAUCACGCUUAUGUCACGCUACAUUAAGGCCCAAUGCGACACCGUUCUAUGUGUUUGUCAUCAGGCUUUAAAGCAGAUGAUCAGUAGUAACUCAGAGGAUUACUAAUAUAGUGUUAACAAUCUUUUUCCACAGGACGUGCAGAAAUAUGUCCCAUCUAUGAGGAGAUACAGGAUAGAGUCGUGUUCCAGCCGACAAAUGGCGGCGGGAGCUUGGCUAGAACAGCUUCAUACUGCAUGACAGAUUUUCAAGAUGGAUCGCACCAUAACGAUCCCAUGUACUCCACCAUCCCUGAUCUUCCACCAGUGGAGAAGAAAAGCAAGACAUCGCUACCUAAUGACUCCACUUAUUCCUUGAUCGGCAACCCAUUGAGUGGUGGAAUGAAUAAAGGUUCGUCACAGCUCCCUGAAAUCACAUAUUUUUUACUGUUGAAACCCAAAAAAGAUGGAAACAACCCAUUCAACCACAAUCAUCAUUAAGUUCUCGGUAUUGGCAGUCGAGAUUAGAGGCCUUUACACACCGGGGUCCUGCUGCCGCCUUGGUUCGGACCAGGCAGCAAUCUCCGGAUCUAAAGAGAGAAGCCACUGCUUCAUGUGUUAAAGCUGCAUUCUCUCUAGUGUCCACCAGGG